rnacentral:tRNA from 1 species
ACCCGGCGUAGCGCAGAGGCAGACGCGCCACGAUGGCAUCGUGGAACACACCGGUUCGAAUCCGGUCCCGGGUG